rnacentral:tRNA from 1 species
GAGGGCAGAGCUCAGCGGCAGAGCACAUGCUUUGCAUGUACGAGGUCCUGGGUUCAGUCCCCAGUACCUCCA